UACGGGGGGGGCAAGCGUUGUUCGGAAUUACUGGGCGUAAAGGGCGCGUAGGCGGCCUACUAAGUCGGACGUGAAAUCCCUCGGCUUAACCGGGGAACUGCGUCUGAUACUGGAUGGCUUGAGUUCGGGAGAGGGAUGCGGAAUUCCAGGUGUAGCGGUGAAAUGCGUAGAUAUCUGGAGGAACACCGGUGGCGAAGGCGGCAUCCUGGACCGACACUGACACUGAGGAGCGAAAGCCAGGGGAGCAAACGGG
rnacentral:rRNA from 1 species